rnacentral:rRNA from 1 species
UAGGGAAUCUUCCACAAUGGACGCAAGUCUGAUGGAGCAACGCCGCGUGAGUGAAGAAGGUCUUCGGAUCGUAAAGCUCUGUUGUUGGUGAAGAAGGAUAGAGGCAGUAACUGGUCUUUAUUUGACGGUAAUCAACCAGAAAGUCGCGGCUAACUACGUGCCAGCAGCCGCGGUAAUACGUAGGUGGCAAGCGUUGUCCGGAUUUAUUGGGCGUAAAGCGAGCGCAGGCGGAAUGAUAAGUCUGAUGUGAAAGCCCACGGCUCAACCGUGGAACUGCAUCGGAAACUGUCAUUCUUGAGUGCAGAAGAGGAGAGUGGAACUCCAUGUGUAGCGGUGGAAUGCGUAGAUAUAUGGAAGAACACCAGUGGCGAAGGCGGCUCUCUGGUCUGCAACUGACGCUGAGGCUCGAAAGCAUGGGUAGCGAACAGGAUUAGAUACCCUGGUAGUCCAUGCCGUAAACGAUGAGCGCUAGGUGUUGGG